rnacentral:rRNA from 1 species
AAUCCUGGCUCAGGACGAACGCUGGCGGCGUGCCUAACACAUGCAAGUCGAACGGAGAAUUUUAUUUCGGUAGAAUUCUUAGUGGCGAACGGGUGAGUAACGCGUAGGCAACCUGCCCUUUAGACGGGGACAACAUUCCGAAAGGAGUGCUAAUACCGGAUGUGAUCAUCUUGCCGCAUGGCAGGAUGAAGAAAGAUGGCCUCUACAAGUAAGCUAUCGCUAAAGGAUGGGCCUGCGUCUGAUUAG